UACGUAGGGACCGAGCGUUGUCCGGAAUCAUUGGGCGUAAAGAGCGUGUAGGCGGCUUGCUAAGUCCUGCGUGAAAUCUCGGGGCUCAACCCCGAGCGGUCGUGGGAAACUGGCAGGCUAGAGUGCGGGAGAGGAGAGUGGAAUUCCUGGUGUAGCGGUGAAAUGCGCAGAUAUCAGGAAGAACACCCGUGGCGGAAGGCGGCUCUCUGGAAC
rnacentral:rRNA from 1 species